AUGUGGGUUGCUGGGGUCUAUUGUUUUGUUUGGACCUCGCUGUCAUUGCAUGGACAAAAACAGUUUGUCAAAAUAACUUCUUUUGGAAGAAAGUCAGUCAUACAUGUUUGGAACAAAAUGAAGGUGAGAAAAUGGGUGAACAAUCUCUUUAAGAAGACUUGCUGUAAAAGUCAGUUUCACUGUCAUUUUUUCCUUACAGAAACUAUGGUUGAAAGUUCCAUUGUUACCAACACAGUACAACAAUUCGACAUUUCCCAAACAUUCAUAAACCGCAUCGCAACCUUGGGUGGUUGGAACUACAGCUCUCGACAUGUGCAGGACGUAUGUUUGAAAGAAAACUCCGGUUUGGUUUCUCCGCCACCAAGUCUCAAGGUUAUCCCACAGAACCCAGGACUGGAUCUGAGCCAGGCCAUUUUUAAUGUUUGAAAUUUGGGAUGAAAUCCAAACAAAAGAAAUACAGCCCUGGUGUAGGCCUCCUAAAGUUAUGCAAGUCUAUGAGAGUAACAGCCCAAUAAAAAAAAUAGUAGAAACUUAUGUAAAGCUCUCAUUACUGUUGCCGUGCCCAGUGAAGAGGGGAUGUGGAGCUCUUCAAAUAGGGCUGAAUGGCUGUGUGUCAUUCCAUGAAAGGAGGGCCAUUUGUGUCCACAACUUUGAAUGAAAGGCACUAAACAUUAAAAUAAGCAAUGAAAUAUUUUACCAGAUCAAAAUCACAAUAUAACAAAGUGGCGACGGAUCCUUUCUUCUGUAUUAUGCUGCACAUCCAAUGGAUUGUCAGACUAAUAUAUAUAUAUAUAUGACAAUAUAUAUGAGAGAGUAUGUCAUUUUACUGGAAGACGGGGUUGAAAUUUUGCUUAAAAAUUACAUGGUCAGAAAAAUGUAAAUAAUUUAUUUAAUGAAUAUUUCAUAAGAUCAUUAAAGGGAUAGUUCACCCAAAAAUGAAAAUUAUGUCAUUAAUGACUCACCCUCAUGUCGUUCCAAACCCGUGAGACCUCCGUUCAUCUUCGGAACACAGUAUAAGAUAUUUUAGAUUUAGUCCGAGAGCUUUCUGUUCCUCCAUUGAGAAUGUAUGUACGGUAUACUGUCCACGUCCAGAAAGGUAAUAAAAACAUCUUCAAAGUAGUCCAUGUGACAUCAGAGGGUCCGUUAGAAUUUAUUGAAGCAUCAAAAAUACAUUUUGGUCCAAAAAUAUCAAAAACUACGACUUUAUUCAGCAUUGACUUCUCUUCCGGGUCUGUUAUGAGCGCGUUCACAGCACAUCCGGUUCGCGAACGAAUCACUCGAUGUAACCGGAUCCUCUUGAACCAGUUCACCAAAUCGAACUGAAUCGUUUGAAACGGUUAGCGUCAACAAUAAGCAUUAAUCCACAAAUGACUUAAGCUGUUAACUUUUUUAACAUGGCUGACACUCCCUCUGAGUUCAAAUAAACCAAUAUCCCGGAGUAAUUCAUUUACUCAAACAGUAUACUGACUGAACUGAACCGGUUCUUGACUCGAGAACGAGUCAAUGUUUCGUUCGUUAUCUGGCUCGGUCAGCAGUUCACUAAACUGCAGUGUUGUGAACGUGCUCAUAACAGACCCGGAAGAGAAGUCAAUGCUGAAUAAAGUCGUAGUUUUUGAUAUUUUUGGACCAAAAUGUAUUUUCGAUGCUUCAAUAAAUUCUAACGGACCCUCUGAUGUCACAUGGACUACUUUGAAGAUGUUUUUAUUACCUUUCUGGACGUGGACAGUAUACCGUACAUACAUUCUCAAUGGAGGAACAGAAAGCUCUCGGACUAAAUCUAAAAUAUCUUAAACUGUGUUCCGAAGAUGAACGGAGGUCUCACGGGUUUGGAACGACAUGAGGGUGAGUCAUUAAUGACAUAAUUUUCAUUUUUGGGUGAACUAUCCCUUUACCAUGCAUUUAAGCAAUAUAAUUUUUAAUUAACGCCCAGUUUAAAUAUAUUAAUUCUAAAUUAUUAUAUAAACUACUUAUUUAAAAGUAAAUAUUUAAAUAUUAUUAGCAUUUUAUAAAUAUUUUAAGGAAUAUUUUAAUUUAUUUAAUAAUUUAUAUAUUUGUAUAAUAUAUCAGGGUUAUUAUAGUUAACUAAAACUAAAACAAUAAAAACAUUGUUAACUGAAUAAAAUAAAUUAUGAAAAAAAAUAUUUUAUCUAGUUGUCAAGGCAAAUUUAAUUUAGCUUAACUUGAUGUACUAAAAUAAUUCAAACUAAAACUGAAAAAAGAAUAAAAAUGAAAUAGACAUAUUUAAUUAAGACAUCAAAAACAAUACAUUUACUAAAAGUUUAUCUAAAACUAAGAACAGAAAAUCUAAAAAUAAAAAUGAAUUCAAAAUAUUAAUAAAUGUACCUCUGAUAUAUUCCUGUCCUUAAAAUUAUAGAAUUUCCUCAAAAUAACUGUCACUAUAAUAGAGUUAAAGAAGCUGAUUCGCAAGUGUACACAUUUAAGUAAAAAUAUAUACAAAAUCGUUUAUUACAUGUAUUCUGAAACGUCAAUUGUUGAAUCUUGAAUGCUAGCAUGUUCAUGACCUUAGUAACAGAGACUUCAAAUGUUGAAAUGUCCUGAUAUAAAAAAAUAACGUUUACAUUUUUACAAAAAUGUACUUUAAAAAAUGACACACUCUUCUCUGUUACCCGCAAUGACCUUCUCCAGUUCAGACAGCAUGGCACAUUAUGGCUGCAGCCAUAUUUCUUUCCCGAACAUGCUAUUUUACGAGCUAUAUGGAAAGUUUUGCAAAGUCUGCAGGCUGCUCUUGCUCUCGCUCUCCUUCUCUCUGCCUGUAAACCCAAGUACGCAUCGUGAGCAUGAGCCCUUAAUGUCUGCUCUGCAUCCUGCGGAGACCGCUGAAGCUCAGGGUGCCAACUUAUGCCAAUCCACACGGGUACGUCUGCCUGCUGCUCAUGUCAGAUAAACCCAUGUGGCUUGGCUCUGAUCUGAGUCGAGGAAGAACCGGUGCGAUAUGGUCUCUCUGUGUACACCAUCAAUGUUUGCUACUGACAGAUCCUGUUUCAGGUCUGUGAUGUUCAGAUCAGAUGACCUGCCUGAGAACAGAAUAACUAUGGGAACUAAAAAACAUAAAUGGACUCAAACUGACUCUUAUAUAAUAUGAAAGAUUCUCCAUAUGACUGGAUGUCGUGUGAGAAUAUUGAUAUCAGUCUGUGUUGACGGUGAAAAUAAUGAAAUGAUAAUGGAUAUGUUUAGUAUAGCAUACUAGCAUAUUACGUUUACUGCUGUAAUUUUUGCACACUGCAUUAAAUAAUGUAUCCCAUGUAGCAACUAAAUAGUAUUACUGUUCAGUAGUAUCUAGUUUGCAGUAUAUGAUGUUUUGUAUUUAGUAAACUAAUAUUCCAUUCUGAAUGUUUGUUUCUUCAUUGUUACAUUGCUGUAGAUAUGUGCUAUAUACAUAAGACUGAAUGUAUAUUGGUGUCCACAGCAGCUUAUCAGUCCAGCUAUUUGGCCCAGGCCGGGGUCCAUGUGAUUGAAUUACAGGGUGCAGAAAGAUUGUGGGUGAUCAGCUUGAUGCUGUGCACUGAUAGCAUUAAAUCAGCCCUUCUGCAUGGCGACACAGAGCGAAGCACUCUGGCUCUCUUUCUCUCUGCCUGUAAACCCAAAUAAGCAUUGUGAGCAUGUGCAGUCGAGCAGAAACACGUCUAAUUGAUCUGGGCCCAUUUGACUCGACUCUGCAGUUUUCAUACAAGAGUUCACAACCUUCUCACCACAGGACAAGCCCUGCCCUGCCUUAGAAUUAUCAGGGUACGGUGCCUAAAACUAAAAACACAAAUGUCGUGUGUGUGUGUGUGUGUGUAUAUAUAUAUAUAUAUACACAACAGAGUUUUUUGAAACUCCGAAUAUCAGUUAAACCAUUGCGUCGCAAAAUUAUUCACUGUUUAGAAUUGCGCCAAUUGGAUCGCGUAUCCCAAAUCAUUUGAUUCAGUUGCAUCAUUGCAUCAUU
ensembl:lncRNA